ACUUCUAAAAGUUAUAUUUUUUUCCCAGCUAAUUCCUAUUUUAAUCACAUUGUUCGAACUCUCCCGUUUUCUUCUUCGGCUACAGUGUCUCCGAAGUCAAUCCCCUACUUUUUCCAGUCGUUCGGCUUCAAAUCUCCUCCAUCCCUCAAAUCUCCUCUCUCUCUCUGUGAUGAUUGACAUUGUCCAUCCAGAUUCCUUUGCGAGAAGGUUUAGGAAGCCUCGAAUGGAAACACAAGAAGAGAUCAAUCAGUGCAUGCGUUCAGUUGAAUUGGCUAUCAAAGAGGCCCUUACUACAAGGGGAAAAACACAUUUUACUGACCAGGAGUUCCCUCCAAGUGAUCAAUCAUUAUUUGUAGAUCCAGACAAUCCCCCUCAAAAGUUACAGGAAAGUUAAUGAAAAAUAUUCCUUUUUCUUUUUUGGUACUUUGAAUCUAUUUUCUUAAUCUCUAAUUUUUGUAUUUGCUUGUUAUCUAGGUUUUUUCUGAUUGGAUGAGGCCUGCUGAUAUAGCAAAGGAGAGCCGGCUUGAUGCUCAACCAUGCUUAUUUAAUGGGGUUGCCAAUCCUUCUGAUGUUUGUCAGGGCUAGUGGGUUCCUGUUGUUGUUGAUGAUUGGAUUCCAUGUGAAUUGCCGGGUAAGCCAGCAUUUGCCACUAGCAGGAAGGGAAAUGAACUAUGGGUCUCCUUACUACAGAAGGCGUAUGCCAAAUUGCAUGGCUCCUAUGAAGCUCUAGAAGGUGGGCUAGUUCAGGAUGCUCUUGUAGAUCUUACUGGAGGUGCUGGGUUCUACAAAAUGUAAAGCAUCAUUUGGGAAUUAUUAUUAUUUGGCAUGUCAUCCUCGACUCUGGCUACGAGUUGAUCGCUCUCUCAAAGAAUCCGAAGCUGGCGUUUUCCCCAACAUUGACUCAGUUGUUGCUACUGCAAGAUAUAACUUUUUCAUCGAAGUCAUUUUUGCAAAUGACUCAAAUUGGGUGAUUUCAGCUCUAUGACCAUUUGAGUAAGCAAAUGAAACACAUGAACAAUGGCUCCUGCACAGCAACUCACAGCCGUUUAGACCAAUAGCAGUAGCCCUUCAAGUGGUUAUUGAAUUCGGAAUCAGUCCUUUUAUCUCAUAGAAAUCAUCACCAUUUUCACAAACUAAUGGAAUGAUCAAACAACCACUAGAAUUCUGUGCCAUCACAAAGCGAAUAGUUGACCAUUGAAAUCUGCUGAUCUUCCAUCCUAUACUUAUUGAUAACCCCAUUAUGAGCCAUGACAAACCAUGAAUACACAUUGCUAAGUGCCAGCUAAGUGCUUUUUCUUCAAUAUUUGCCUCUGUGGACACCAUAACAGCCAUAAAAAGUUAACUCUUUGGCUCCAACCUGAUCAUACUGUUCUGUAGGUAUUUCUUUGUCAUGUGUUCAGAAUUCGGAUCCCAUGCUUCAACAUACUGAACCCCAUGCUUCUUUGAAAUUCACCUUAAUUGAACAAAGUCAAGAAGAAUUCAAAUUAUUUUAUACAAGAAAUAGUAAUAAAUCCUAAUGUAAGUGAAGCAUUUUCUUUCUUCUUUUCUCAUUUUCGCAGCAUACCUUUGGGUGAUACAUUUGGGAACAUUCUUAUUGAAGUUCCUUGCCAGCAUUCAACAAGUCAUUCACUGAACAAUGUAUUUCUUGUUACAUGCUUCAGUGUUGCCAUCAUUUUAUUGUGUUCAUCCUGAGAAAGAGCCAAAAGUACCCAUGGCAACAGUAACUGAAGCACUUCACCACCAGUUGACCCUAAUAUGAACCCAAUAAUUUUGUGCUGCUCUUCCAUAGAAAAUUGAAUUCUAAACAAUGGUCACAUCUCAAGUUCUUCCCUUGACAUAUGUUGAUCUAUCAUCAUUCUUAUCGACUUGCACAUGUGUUCAAGCUUAGCAAAUAGCUCAUAGUACUGUCUGAUGCAUUCAAUGUCAUAGUUAGUAGUAACUCCAAAGGUUUGAGCAAUGAAACUUGUGUCAGAAAUACAAUAACAUUAAUUUUUUGAAUAGUAUGACCUUGAGGUUUGAGCAAGUAAUUCUUGAAAAGACUGAUAUAAGACCUACCAAUUGUAUAUUAUUGAGAAAAAUAUGAGCUUCUUCAUCAGUCAUUGCUCCAAUCAGCCAUGGCAAGACUUGCUCAAUCAAUCUCAAGGGCAUCAUACACAAGCUUUGAUACAAAAUUUCUUGUUGCCUUUUGACAUUUAAGUUCAUUCUAGCAAGUCGAAGAACCUAAACAUGUAGAGAGGUCAGUCAAUUUCAAGAAUGAAAAAUUGACUUAAGCUAACUUAAAAAAAUAGUGUCUUCAACAUUUUUCAUCUUUGUCUAAGUUAUUAUUUUCAAUAGUAUGAGAAGUAUGAAUUUCUAGCAAACUAGUUGAACACUUGCAACCUUUUACUAUUAUACUUCACUGAUGCUUUCGUACUAAUGCAAAAUCAUUUGGACCAUGGAAAAUUUAUUCUCUUUAGAAAGUUAGAGUAAAUAAGGAAAAAUAACCUGGACCUCCUCAAUAAAGAAGUGGUUGUUUAUGGUUUCUACUAUUUGAUCAGCACAAGAGCAUAGGUUUGAAAGAAACCCAGCUGAAGUAGAAGAGAAUGCUCCUCCACUUCCAAUCAAAUGCCAAAAUUCAUUGAAUUUGCUCUUUACUUCACCAUGCUGAUGGAAAAUUGAAAUAUACAUCCUCUUGAUCUUCUCCAGUGUCUCAUUCAAUUCUCUUUUGAUUGCCUUAUGCCAGAGCAAUAAAUCAUCUAUAGGAUGUGAACAAGUUUCACUUUCACAGUUUGAUUCCUCCAUUGGAGUAUUAUUCAAUAUGGUGUCAUGAGAAUCUUUCCUUUUAAUCCAAUUGAAAAUGACCUUCACAUGUGAUGUGCAUAAUUAGCUCUUUCCUUUGUAAAAGAAAGAAAAUAAUUUUAUUUGUUUGUGGAUAAAUUGGAAAAUUUACCUGUUGAAGAAGCUUUUCCUCUUGGACUAUUCUAACUAAGAAGUUUUGAAGAUGUUGAUAUUCAUCAAUUGAAAGAGAAGAAGGUAGCCAUGAAAGUAACUUAGCUAGCACAUAUGUGGGCAUGUCACUCAAGAACCCACACUAAAGAGGCUUGCUGUUGAAGAGAGUAAUUCUCAAUAAGCAAGGGAAACACCUAAUAUGAUCAAGGGAAAACAUGUUAGAAUAAUCUCAAUUUAGUUCUCAUUAUUAAAAUAAAUAAAUAACUCAGGCAGGGGAAAAAGAAAAUAUAUGUGUGUGCACUUGUUUGAUGUUUGAUCAGUCAACAGUAAGAUUAGUGAGCAUUAGGGGAAAGUGAUCUUAGUACAAGCAAUAAAAAUGUUAAUGGCUAGAUAAAAAGAUUAUAUUUUAUUUCUCACUAAUCCAACCCUUAAAAAUAGAACAAUAAUAAUAUCAAUUCUUGUAUAGUUUCUAAAUUCAAAGUCCAAGUCUAUGUUCAGCAACUUGUCCUAUAAUUCAAGAAUAUAUGCCAAUAAUUCAAGAAAAUUUGUUAACUAGAAAAAGAAAACUAAUGAAAACUAACUUACUUAUGCAUGAUAUAUACCCAUAUAUAUAGUAGUUUUUUUAUCUACUUCUUGGAGACAACUAAAUCUUUAGAAACAUGUCAUUUAAUUGAAUAUCAUUAAUCUCAUGUAACAUCAAAACUAAAUUCAGUAGGCAUGUGUUAAUCUCAUUAGAUUAUUAUAAUUUAUUGACAUUUUUGCUUUAUACAUUCCUUUUAUUUCCAAUUGGCGCUGAGAAAAUUUCAUAACAGUUGAUUGCUUUUAUUUCCUCUUGGCAUCUCCUUUGUCACGAGUUGUUAAGACUUAAGAUCCUUUAGUGGGUAAGUCUUUUAUGAUCUUGGUUUUAAAUAUAAAUAUAUCAGUUUUGUUACAUAUUUUAACUUUUCAGCGUUUUGAGAUUUGUUUUUUUAAAGUUAUAUAUUUAUAAUGUUAUAUAUCUUAUUUUUGUUUUAUUUGAUAUUUAGUAAAGUAUUGUAGAUAGUUUUUCUUGAUCUUUCUAAUAACAAAAUGUCACUUUUAGUUUACAUAAGAUGCUUUAGCUGAACCAUCAAUUUAAAGAAUUUGAGAAGCUUUAGUCUAACUUUUUUAUGGUGUUAUAUAUCAUUGUGAGUGAAGCAAGUUUUGUCUUAUAAAAAAUAGAGGUAUAGUUCUUCUCUUAUCACUUUACUCAUUUUUAUAUAAAUAAACUUUAAUUGCUUUUUCUUUUAUUAGUGCCUAAGUGUGGUCCACAUUGAAGCAAGUUUUGCUAAUACCAUAUGGUGGAUAGAAACAUCCUCAUUCUUAUUAUGUUGGUGAUCUACUAGAAGUAAAGAACUAUUUUGCAUAUGUAAAGGUUUGUUAUUGUUAAUGAGACUAAAUUUUUAUUUGAGUGAAUUUCCUCUGUAUUUUCUCCUACAACCUAUUUUGUUUGUGGGUUUGUUAGGGUGUUGGGAUAUAGGAUCACUAUUGUGUUGGUAGUAGAUAACUUAUUUUCACAACUUGCUUAUAUAUGCUUUAAAGCAUCUGUUUAUCGUGACCAAGUCAUUUUCUACUUCUCUGGCAUAGUGACCUCACAUUAAUAAUAUUUAUUCUUUUCACACUGUAUUAAUUUAGGCGUGUUAAAUAUAAUAAUUGCAAUUCUUA